GAUGAACGCUGGCGGCGUGCCUAAUACAUGCAAGUCGAGCGAACAGACGAGGAGCUUGCUCCUCUGACGUUAGCGGCGGACGGGUGAGUAACACGUGGAUAACCUACCUAUAAGCCUGGGAUAACUUCGGGAACCCGGGGCAAAUCCCGGAUAAAUUAUUGACCCCCAGGGUUAAUUGGUAAAAGACGGUUUUGCUGUCACUUUAAGAUGGAUCCGCGCCGCAUUAGCUAGUUGGUAAGGUAACGGCUUACCAAGGCAACGAUGCGUAGCCGACCUGAGAGGGUGAUCGGCCACACUGGAACUGAGACACGGUCCAGACUCCUACGGGAGGCAGCAGUAGGGAAUCUUCCGCAAUGGGCGAAAGCCUGACGGAGCAACGCCGCGUGAGUGAUGAAGGUCUUCGGAUCGUAAAACUCUGUUAUUAGGGAAGAACAAAUGUGUAAGUAACUAUGCACGUCUUGACGGUACCUAAUCAGAAAGCCACGGCUAACUACGUG
rnacentral:rRNA from 1 species